rnacentral:rRNA from 1 species
UACCCGCAGCCCAAGUGGUAGUCGCUUUUAUUGGGCCUAAAGCGUCCGUAGCCGGUUUGGUAAAUGCCUGGGUAAAUCGUGGGGCUUAACCUCACGAACUCCGGGUAGACUGCCAGACUUGGGACUGGUUGAGGGAGAGGGUACUCCAGGGGUAGGGGUGAAAUCCUGUAAUCCUUGGAGGACCACCGGUGGCGAAAGCGCUCUCCUAGGACGGGUCCGACGGUGAGGGACGAAAGCCAGGGGAGCAAACCGGAUUAGAUACCCGGGUAGUCCUGGCCGUAAACGAUGUGGGCUUGGUAUUGGGGGUCCCACGAGGGCGCCCAGUGCCGUAGCGAAGGCGUUAAGCCCACCGUCUGGGGAGUAUGGUCGCAAGGCUGAAACUUAAAGGAAUUGGCGGGGGAGCACAGCAACGGGAGGAGCGUGCGGUUU